rnacentral:lncRNA from 1 species
GCACAUCUAAUGGUCCAGAGGUGCGCGCUCACCAUGAGUCCAAGUCAAUGCAACCACACACUGAAUUAAAAUAAAUCAUAAGAUCCAAGAGCCAUGAUUCAAUCUAGGAAUCAUCAUCAACGGCCUGAAUUUAAACUGGCAAACGGACGGUGGUGUACACCACCGUCUUCUCCGGCGAACAUGGAGAUUCCGACCAAAGUUGCAGGUCAUAAAAUC